AUACGGAGGGUGCAAGCGUUGUUCGGAAUUACUGGGCGUAAAGGGCGCGCAGGCGGCCUGCCAAGUCAGAUGUGAAAUGCCAUGGCUUAACCAUGGACGUGCAUUUGAAACUGGUGGGCUUGAGUACCAGAGGGGAAGGUGGAAUUCCCGGUGUAGAGGUGAAAUUCGUAGAUAUCGGGAGGAAUACCGGUGGCGAGGGCGACUUGCUGGCUGGAUACUGACGCUGAGGCGCGAAAGCGUGGGGAGCAAACAGGAUUAGAUACCCUGGUAGUCCACGCUGUAAACGAUGUGAACUAGAUGUAGGGGGUGUUGAUCCCCUCUGUGUCGGAGCUAACGCAUUAAGUUCACCGCCUGGGGAGUACGGUCGCAAGAUUAAAACUCAAAUGAAUUGACGGGG
rnacentral:rRNA from 1 species